UACGUAGGGUGCGAGCGUUGUCCGGAAUUACUGGGCGUAAAGAGCUCGUAGGUGGUUUGUCGCGUUGUUCGUGAAAACCGGGGGCUUAACCCUCGGCGUGCGGGCGAUACGGGCAGACUUGAGUACUGCAGGGGAGACUGGAAGUUCCUGGUGUAGCGGUGGAAUGCGCAGAUAUCAGGAGGAACACCGGUGGCGAAGGCGGGUCUCUGGGCAGUAACUGACGCUGAGGAGCGAAAGCGUGGGGGAGCGAACAGG
rnacentral:rRNA from 1 species